rnacentral:rRNA from 1 species
GAGUUGUUUGGGAAUGCAGCUCUAAGUGGGUGGUAAAUUCCAUCUAAAGCUAAAUACAGGCGAGAGACCGAUAGCGAACAAGUACAGUGAUGGAAAGAUGAAAAGAACUUUGAAAAGAGAGUGAAAAAGUACGUGAAAUUGUUGAAAGGGAAGGGCAUUUGAUCAGACAUGGUGUUUUGCGCCCCUUGCCUCUCGUGGGCUUGGGACUCUCGCAGCUCACUGGGCCAGCAUCGGUUUUGGCGGCCGGAAAAAACC